rnacentral:lncRNA from 1 species
GGGAAAUGGACCUUCCAGACGAUGGUGCUCUGUGAGGUAGGCUUUCUGUGUGCUCUGGCUAGCUGUAUGUUGUGUUGUGUUGUUCAGUGGAGUCUCCCAGAUGCCUCUGUCAUGUUUAUCUUUAUGUAUGUCCUUCUGGGUGUGUGCAUGUAUGUUUCAGCAUGUUCGUGUUCAUGUUGAUUAACUUAUUAUGCACCAGUCUUUGUGGGCUAUGUGUUUGUGUGUAAUAAGUGGGUAUCCAGUUAAUGUCUGCAUGUGCACAUUUGUGUGAGCAGCUGAUAUGGGGUGUGUUUCUAGACAGGUGUGCCUGAAUGCUCACCAGUCUCUGCCUCUGUGUACAUAGCUUAAGUACCCAUGUUUUGGGAGAUCAUGUUUGGGGGAUGUCUGCAGUGUGUAUUUUGUGUCCAAUCUGGAGCAUGACUGUGCUUCUACAUUGGUCUGUAUGAAAGCACAAGUGGGUGACUAUGUAUAAGUGUAUGGAUGUCUGUGUGUGUGCACAUGUGUGUGCAUCUGUGUGUGUUCUUGUGUAUAUAUGGAACCACGUGGAACAUGUUGUGCACGGGUGAACAUCUGAUAUCUGCCUGUGCUUGUCUGUGUUUGGAUUGAAAUGUAAUCCUGGCCUGGCUUCAUUUCUCGUUUUGAAAAAACAAAUAAUUCCUGUGUUUUUAAAGUAUUUACCUCCCUCAGUUUUCACGAGCAGGUUGAAAAGCCUCCCUGGGACAGGUGUGUCCCAGAGCCUUCCCAGGGCUGAUUACUUCCCACUGGAUACAUUUAAAUAUCCUCCCAGAAAAUUCUCAUUCCCACGUAUCACCACCCACCUCCCAAGCCAUUUAACAGAAUCAUUUACCCAGUGUUCCCUGAUUCAUGUCAGCUCUGAGCUGAGUGGUACCAAGUGACCAGAAAGCCCUGGGCCCUGCCUCACUCAGGUCUCACUCCUAAGGGGAAGGCAGACCCACAGCUCAGAAUGGACUGUGCUGGGGUGGGAAGACACAGGCAGAGGGGCCCAGACAGGAUGGGGAGAGCACAGGUGUCUGUAGGAACCCAGAAACAGCACCUGACUCGCCCUCAUGGGCUUAGGAUAGGCUGUUAGUAGGGAUUUUGUGUAGAAGGAUAGGGAGGGUUGGGAGGUUGUAUUCCACGCAGAAGAACCAGUGUGUGUGAGGGCCUGGGUGUGUGGCUUGGUGGAAUUGGGCAUUAGAGAUCUUGGCUCGUGUGUGUGGAGAGAGCUAGGGCCACCGGCAGGAGCCAGAAUGCAUAGAGUCUAAUUCAACUCAGUGAGAAGUGUAGACUUUGUCUUGUGGCGGUGGGGAGCCUCGGAAAGAUUUCAAUCUGGGGGACAAAAUGGUAAGAUUUGAGUUUCAAAAAGAGUCUUCACAUUUUUGGAAAACACUUAAUGCUGGCAGCUGAGAAAUGAGUUAGUGUCUGCUACAGCAUCCAAGUGAGAGUGGAUGGAGGAGCCAUGCGUGUGGGCAUGAGGGGGUGGGCUGGAGAAGACCUGGGAGAACUGAGACUUGGUUGCAGUUGGCUGUGCCGGGCUAAGGGUUAGGGGGGCACUCCAGCAGGGGAAGAUGGUCAUGUCAUUAACUAAUUGGUGUUCUAGAGCCUUCCCAAGGCUGAUUACUUCCCACUGGAUAAAUUUAAAUAUCACACAGAUCAGGAGAAGAUCUGAAUCAGGUGGUAAUGGCUUUGGCUUUGGGUGUGCGGGUGAACAAGACCCAAUCUCUGCUUAGGGAUUUCUUAGAGUAAUAGGAAAGUGCUGCAGCCGGACUACGGCAGAUGGUGGCCCAUACCGGGAGCCCUGGGACACUCAGGUGUAAGUGACGAAAGAAAAAGCUGCCCAUCCAUAGAUAGGACGGGAGCAAAUCUGCUCGUCCCUAGGCAGAUAGGGCGAGAGGAAAAAUGGCCAUUUUGAGAAAAUGGAGAAUAUUGAUACAGUAUGUUUGUGUCUUGUUUUGUCUUGAAAUGUUGUAUUGUCUUUGUGAUAAAAAUAUGGAAGGGGUGAGAAGUAAAUUACUAAGGGAAGGAGGCACCCCAGUGGAACCAAGAAUAGUUAGGGCAUGUGUUGAUAGAAGCCCAAGAACUCUAGUCAGAAAGAAGAAAAAAAGUUCAGAGGAGGAAGGAUUAUCAAGAAAAAAAUUACAAAAGGCUACUACUAAAUACUUUUCUUUAUCUGAGGGUGCGUGAAGCCGCAUGGAGGCUGCGGCAUAUAGGAGCCAAUCAUGGCGCAGCAAGGAAUUUCCAAGCUGCAGCAGCCGGCUCUUCCCCGCUCCCCACCCGGGAAGAAGAACGCCACUGCGAGAGCCCAAAUCCAAACCUGUGCCCGGAAGCAAUUUGAGACCAAGACUCUCCCCAGGGCCAUCUGGGGCUGCCCAGGAGCUACAGCCAACAAAAGACGCUACCAGUGUCCCUGAUGUUUGGUCAUUUCCAAGGCCAGUAACUACAAUGGUUCUCCCACACCUGGAAGCUAAUGAGUAAUGAGCACUAUUAAGGCUUAUUUCAAAUGUGAAAAACCUUGAGAUGAUGUACUAAAUUGUUCAGAAGGUUGUUUUCUUAGUGCCUGCUGGAAUACUACAGGAUUUUCUUUAGCCAUCCCGAGUUCCUGCCUUCGUCCCAGUGCCAGUGAAGAGGAAUGUGGAAGAAUUUCCAUUGUUGCUGAGAACCGGAGGAGACUUCAGCUGAGAACCGACGAGACUUCGGAUCAAGCUAGAUGCCUGUAGAACUUACCUGGACUGUGAUUUAAGCUAGCUGUCUGCAGAACUUACCUGGACUGUGAUUCAAGCUAGCUUCCUGCAGAGCUUACCUGGACUGUGAUUUACCUGGACCGUGAGUUAAUCUAUUGAGACACUGCUUUACCUGGACUGAGACAACAAACUGUAAUCCACAACAAAUUUUAACUCGAUAUCUUUGCUAAUGGUGUCAUUGCUGGUAUAAUUUUUCCAAGGGCUUCUUGCAUGGAGCCAUCAAUUGGCUUGGUAUUGUGACAUUCUGUAUCCUCCCCUUCUGCUUGUAGCAGAUUAUUUAUGGUGUUUCUGUAAAAACCACUAUGGUCGUUAUUUAAAUCAAACAAAAGGGGGAAAUGUUAGAGUCUGUAAACAAGUUAGGAUGGCACCUGGCAUUUUGCCAGAGAAAUGUUAGAGUCUGUAAACAAGUCUGGAUGGCGCCUGGCAAAAUGCCAGAGGGAGUGGUUUGUGAAAUAAUGCCAGUGAGCCAUUAAGUGUGGAGAUUCCUGAUUGGUUGACUGCUGUAUCUAGUUUAUGCUAAUUAGAUAAGCUGUGUGGAAUGUAUAAAUACUGCUCCUGUCCUGCAAUAAACGGCUCCUACUCCUGCUGUAUCAAUCUACACAAGUUGUUCGUCACCCCCGGCUAGUUUGCUGCAGCUGGACUGUGGCAGGAAAGCAGACCCUUAAAAAUGGAAGUCCUCAUGAUUCUGUCAUUAUUCAUUAC